UACAGAGGGUGCGAGCGUUAAUCGGAAUUACUGGGCGUAAAGCGCGCGUAGGCGGCUUUUCAAGUCGAUUGUGAAAUCCCCGGGCUCAACCUGGGAACUGCAGUCGAGACUGUCUAGCUAGAGUAUGGGAGAGGGAAGUGGAAUUUCAGGUGUAGCGGUGAAAUGCGUAGAUAUCUGAAGGAACAUCAGUGGCGAAAGCGACUUCCUGGACCAAUACUGACGCUCAUGUGCGAAAGCGUGGGGAGCAAACGGG
rnacentral:rRNA from 1 species